rnacentral:pre_miRNA from 1 species
UUUUGCCUUUCACUUUCCCCAUUCAACCCCAAACUUCAACCUUUUCAACACAUAUAAUUAUUCUCAACCCUAACUCAAGGUAAAUCAAUUCAAUCAAGGGUUGAGAAUAAUUAUAUGUAUUGAAAAGGUUCAAGUUUGGGGUUGAAUGGGGAAAGUGAAAGGCAAAA